rnacentral:rRNA from 1 species
UACGUAGGGGCCGAGCGUUGUCCGGAAUUAUUGGGCGUAAAGAGCUCGUAGGCGGUUUGUUGCGUCGGCUGUGAGAUCCCGAGGCUCAACCUCGGGUCUGCAGUCGAUACGAGCAAACUAGAGUGUUGCAGGGGAGACUGGAAUUCCUGGUGUAGCGGUGAAAUGCGCAGAUAUCAGGAGGAACACCGGUGGCGAAGGCGGGUCUCUGGGCCGAUACUGACGCUGAGGAGCGAAAGCGUGGGGAGCGAACAGG